rnacentral:rRNA from 1 species
UACGGGGGGGGCAAGCGUUGUUCGGAAUUACUGGGCGUAAAGGGCUCGUAGGUGGCCAACUAAGUCACACGUGAAAUCCCUCGGCUUAACCGGGGAACUGCGUGUGAUACUGGAUGGCUUUGAGUUUGGGAGAGGGAUGCGGAAUUCCAGGUGUAGCGGUGAAAUGCGUAGAUAUCUGGAGGAACACCGGUGGCGAAGGCGGCAUCCUGGACCAAUACUGACGCUGAGGAGCGAAAGCGUGGGGAGCAAACAGG